CUACCCUUGACAUGCCAGGAAUCCUGUAGAGAUAUGGGAGUGCUCGAAAGAGAACCUGGACACAGGUGCUGCAUGGCUGUCGUCAGCUCGUGUCGUGAGAUGUUGGGUUAAGUCCCGCAACGAGCGCAACCCUUGUCAUUAGUUGCCAUCAUUUAGUUGGGCACUCUAAUGAGACUGCCGGUGACAAACCGGAGGAAGGUGGGGAUGACGUCAAGUCCUCAUGGCCCUUAUGGGUAGGGCUUCACACGUCAUACAAUGGUCGGUACAAAGGGUUGCCAAGCCGCGAGGUGGAGCCAAUCCCAGAAAGCCGAUCGUAGUCCGGAUCGGAGUCUGCAACUCGACUCCGUGAAGUCGGAAUCGCUAGUAAUCGUGGAUCAGCAUGCCACGGUGAAUACGUUCC
rnacentral:rRNA from 1 species